GACGAACGCUGGCGGCGUGCUUAACACAUGCAAGUCGAACGAAGUGGCGAACGGGUGAGUAACGCGUAAUCCACCUGCCCUUCAGAGGGGGACAACAGUUGGAAACGACUGCUCAUACCGCAUACUGAAGGUGGGGAUUGCGUCUGAUUAGGUAGUUGGAGGGGUAACGGCCCACCAAGGCGAUGAUCAGUAGCCGGGCGGAGAGGGUGAACGGGCAAAUUGGGACUGAGACACGGCCCAGACGCCUACGGGAGGCAGCAGGGGGGAAUGUUCCGCAAGGGAGGAAAGGCGGACGGAGCAACGCCGCGUGAGGGAUGACGGCCUUCGGGUUGUAAAGCUCUGUUAAUCGGGACGCGGUACCGGAAUAGAAAGCCACGGCUAACUACGUGCCAGCAGCCGCGGUAAUUC
rnacentral:rRNA from 1 species